UGCAGCAGCCAUAUCACCCUGCAACUCACACCUGGUAACCCACUGAAGCUAAGCAGGUGUGAGCCUUAGUCAGUACCUGGAUGGGAGGCCUCCUGGGAAAAACUAAGGUAAGGUAUAGUGA
rnacentral:rRNA from 1 species